UACGUAGGGACCAAGCGUUGUUCGGAUUUACUGGGCGUAAAGGGCGCGUAGGCGGCAAUUCAAGUCAUCUGUGAAAUCUCCGGGCUUAACCCGGAACGGUCAGGUGAUACUGUUUUGCUAGAGUGCGGAAGGGGCAAUCGGAAUUCUCGGUGUAGCGGUGAAAUGCGUAGAUAUCAGGAGGAAUACCGAUGGCGAAGGCAGGUCUCUGGGCUGACACUGACGCUCAUGCACGAAAGCGUGGGGAGCAAACAGG
rnacentral:rRNA from 1 species